rnacentral:lncRNA from 1 species
UCACAAAAUUACGACAAAAUCAACUCCUAAAACGUAGUUUUAUCAUUCUCAUUAUUGCGAAAAUCACAGCUAUAAAAAUUGCAAUCGAAAUACAAUUCAUAUUUUACCUAGUGAAUGGCGUUUAUGAAUUUGUCGUGUCGAAAAUGAACUCACAAAGGGUUCUUUCUUUCUCUUUCUUCCUCUCUCUACCUUCCUCACAUUCUCUCUCUCUCUGCAUGCCAAACAGAAAAAAGCCCUC